UUGUGAUUUCACUCGCAGCAAGUCGGAGCUUUCCUUCAGUGAGUCGAGCCAUGCGGGCAUCAAUAGAUACAAAAAUACCAAAUGUCUUAUUGUGAAAGGUGAAAGAGGAAGUAGAUCUGUAUUAGCCGUCCCAGGAAUCGGCAUUUAUUGACUACAUUUCACAAAGUGCGGUGAGUUAUUCCACCACAUCACCACAGUUCUGUCCAGUUUAAGGUGUUUAAACUGAAUCUAACUAAUCAGAGUCAGAUCAGCAGUUAGUUGAAGGUCAAGUUGUUUUCAGAGCCUUCAUCUCACCAGCGGUAACCAGCGACUGAUGGGAGAUAAUCUCACUUCAUCAUCUCAGGAGCCGCAAGGUAAACGUGUAAAUCAGCUGUCUGCUUUUGUUCUGUUGCCACAAAAUACGAUUAUUUACUCAUUAUUUCCAAAAAUGGGGGAAGUGCGGAUUGAGAUGAACAUCCCGAUGGAAGAAGAAGGAGAAGUUCUCCACCGGCGUCGUCGCCCCGACUUCCCGUCUCCUUAUUCAUCGCCAUGGAAACGGACACACCCUUCAUUUAUGGGAUGUUCCACUCCAAAUGGACCCAGCAGCAUCUCCACACCAGGACGUCCUGCUGUGGUGGGAAACGACAGAUGCUGAUUUCAGAAGACGGAUGGAAGAGUUGUCUGCGUUAAUGAAGCUCCGCCCCCUAUAGAUCCUGGACCAGCAUGCAUCAGCCCCAUUGAUCAGGCAGCCACACUGUAAUGUUCCUUUCAGCUGGCAUCUCGUGCACAGAGACAGAUGGAGGGAGGCGGGACGGUCACGAGGGAAAGCAGAGGCGGAGGAGAGAGGAGGAGAUGAGAUAGUUGGCUAACUGGGUGAAGUUACGUUUAAUACGGAAGUGUUGUAAAACGCCUCACGACCUCCAGCACCGACUUGCAUGACUGGAUUAUUUCAUAUUUGAAAGGAGUAUUUGUGCGUUUGAGGAGCCUUCAACUUCAAACUGGACUCUCGUGUCCUGAGCUUCCUUUCAGUUCCCCUGUUGCAUGGCAACACGUGUUUCAUUGUGGUCUUUGUGGUCAGAUGGGGCACUUUAUCCAUGUGAAGGAGCCCAGUGGAGAAGGAGCCUGCGGGAUUCAUAGAUGGAUGGAUG
ensembl:lncRNA